GGGUGGGCGUGUGAAAACCCUCCUCCGAGCAGGAAAAACCUCCCCUAGCUGUCCCCACCACACACACGGGUGGGAAUGCCUCUGGGGCCUUCCCCCACCCCCUCCCCAGAGCCCAGGAGGGGGAUCCGACUCUAAGUUCCCCCAAGAGCUGGCUAAUCAGCUCCCCGACCCUCAUCAUAAGGGGUCCACGCACUCCAGCCCUGGUUUCAGCCUUUCCACUGAUCCAAGCCCCUACCUGCCCCAAAAGCAGGGUCCCCCACCCCCACCUCCACCCCCCCGCGCCGGUGUCCGCCAGGCGGCGCCCUUCCAGGAGCAAAAAGGCUGCAGGCAGAUCGCGAGUAAAGCAGCGGCCCCCUCGGGAAAAGUGACCCCAGAUCGCCCCUCGGGAAAGGCCGGUUCUCCCGUGGCCGAAGACGGGACCGUAAUACAUGAGCAAACAGAAAAAAGAAACACAGCAAAACGGAGUUCUGCUAGAGAAAGCAUGCAUCAUAAAGACAGACUUGGAGAAGAAAAAAAAAAUCAAUAUUCAUGCCAGAAAGAUAAACCUCCAGAACAAGGUCCAUAUUUGUAUUAUGGCAGGAAGGGCAAGGUUAUUAAUAGCUUGAAAUGCUGAGGCUUGAAAUGUAGGACCUCCCUUUAUGGGUCCUAACGACUGUCCAUUUCUUGUUUGGGACUGGGCGGAACCCGGCCGCAUCAUCGGGUCUGCAGUGGCGUCUCAGAGCCCACGCAGUGGGGCAACUCUGAAAUGUGACAGUGGGUGCAGGGGCAGGGAGAGGAGGGGACAUUCUGGAACGGAGCCCACUCAUCGUGGGUCUUAGGUCCAGCGCUCAGGCAGGCUGACUGCAAAAGCCUGCUCCGGACGGUCAGUGGCCAGACUCAGACAAGAAGAGUCAGGCGCCCCCUGCUGGCUGACUCAGCUCUGCUUUCCCUUCACAGCCCAAGGAGCCACUGAAGAUCAGCACCUGGAAUCCAGAACCUCCUUCCGCAGCUGGCUCCCCUGACCAUGGGCAGAGCGCUUCGAAUCUCUGAACAUCAGGAGUUCCCGUCGUGGCUCAGUGGUUAACGACUCCGACUAGGAACCGUAAGGUUGCGAGUUCGAUCCCUAGCUUCGCUCAGUGGGUUAAGGAUCCAGCAUUGCUGUGAGCUGUGGUGUAGGCCUCAGACUCAGAUCCCGUGUUGCUGCACCUGUGGCCUAGGCUGGCAGCUAUGGCUCCCAUUAGACCCCUAGCCUAGAAACCUCCAUAUGCCUCUGGUGCGGCCCUGGAAAAGACACACACACACACACACACACACAAAAGGAAUCUCUGAACACCAGUUUUCUCCAUCUGUAAAGGGAAUAACUGCUUUCUGUCCAUCCUAGUAAGAUAAGAAAAAUUGUAACUAUAUGAGGUAAUGGAUAUUAAUUAAACUUUGUAAUUUUUUAGCAGUAUAUACAAGUAUCAAAUCAUUAUGUUAUACAGUUUAAACGAAUAAGAUGUUAUAUGCUGAUUACAUCUCAAUAAAAAGUGGGAGGAAGAAAAUUGCUGUUAAUCUUUUCUUUUUUUUUUUUUUUGGUUGACUUUUAAGGCUGCAUCCACCGCAUAUGGAGGUUCCCAGGCUUGGGGUCGAAUCAGAGCUACAGCUGCUGGCCUAUGCCACAGCCACAGCAACAUGGGAUCUGAGCCUUGUCUGCGACCUACACCACAGCUCACCACAACGCUGGAUUCUUAGCCCACAGAGCAAGGCCAGGGAUAGAACCGACAACCUCAGGGUUAGUUGUCAGAUUUGUUUCUGCUGUGCCACGAUGGGAACUCCCCUCAUUUUGUUUUAAUCUAAAACUGAAAGCCAUCAACUAUACGUUAACAAAAAAAAAAAUUGUAAUAAAUCAAAAACUGGAAGCUUUUAUUCCACUUACAGUGUUGGUUCUAAGGGAGAUGAGAGAGAUAAACAGGUGUCUGUUUCACAGGUCAUAUUCCUGAAACGGCUAAUGUACUGGCUAUCACACUGGCUAACCUAAAUAUUAGAUACCGUGAAACCAAAAGAUUCAUAAAAUGUACUACUUUUAAGCAUGUAGAACUUACACUAUACGCUUAGGGAGAGCUUGGUUAUACCUAGAUGCUAUAUUGGAAAUGCAGCUCCAGCCGCGUCAUGUGAUAUGAGAGUGUAUUUCUUUACUCUGCAACUUCAGUGAGACCAUAAAAAUUAGAUUAUGCGUCGGUAUAACACCCAUCAUUAAUAUAACUAAAGAUGUGCUAAAAUGAAAGCGACAAGAUGGUCCCCAACCAGAUUAAAACUCAUAGAAUACAAUCAUGUUCUAACAGAUGAAGUGUCAUAUCACUACCAUAAAACUGAAAAACUUAAAUCAUCCCUUUGGGUAGGUCUAGGCUCUGGGUUUUUGUUCAAGCAAGUUUGCAAGUCAUGCAGCGCAAGCAAUGUGCUACAGUCACGCCUCUCACCCCGCAAUUUUCUUUGCUCCAUAGAACCAAGAUGAAUUGGUUUGCAGGGGGAUUCAAUUACGAGGGACACAUUUCAUUUUCAAAUCUGAACAUUUUUGCAAAGAUGGAUAUUUUUAGAAAGCCUCCUGAUAUUUCUUUUCAGAAGCACUACUGAUUUUAUUGAAAGCAAAAAAGCAAAAGCAUGAAGAUCAACAUUUAGAAAAGACAAAAACACAUGUAUGCUUUAUUGUUGUAAAGAAAAUACAUUGGAUUUAAAACAGGCAAGAAGGAUUUUGUUGACUGUUCAGUUUGGGUUUCUAAGGAAUGAAGAAAUCGUAAUGUAUGAAUAUAUGUGGAAGAGCUUGAAAAUGUGCAUUUUAUUUUAUUUUAUUUUAUAUUUUGUCUUUUUGCCAUAUCUUGGGCUGCUCCCACGGUAUAGGGAGGUUCCCAGGCUGGGGGUCGAAUCGGAGCUGUAGCAGCCGGACUACACCAGAGCCACAGCAACUCGGGAUCCAAGCCGCAUCUGCCACCUACACCACAGCUCAUGGCAACACCGGAUCCUUAACCCACUGAGUGAGGCCAGGGAUCAACCCCACAACCUCAAGGUUCCUAGUUGGAUUCGUUAAGCACUGAGCUACAACGGGAACUCCCUUGAUGCACAAUUUUAGUUCUAAAAAUUUAUCCUUAAAAGAAUUCUUAGAAAUCUAUGCUUCUAGCAAAAUAUUAGAA
rnacentral:lncRNA from 1 species